rnacentral:lncRNA from 1 species
AGAGGAGUCCUGUCCGAGGAGAGCCCGGCUGGCUGACUGGAAUCCCAAGACAUGCCAAGGUCCCUGGGAAAUGACAGGACACCCAGAUCUGCUGGGAGCAGAGUUCUCAUAGGGUCCCAGCUGAGCCCUGGAACUCCCCAGACCCCCUCUGCCACUCCAUCUCUGCGUCAGCCCAGCACCUGUGCCCUAUCCGGCUUUGGCCACCAUCUCCACCCUGGGGAGGGGGAGCAUAACCCCCUCCAGCCUGAGGUUGGCGCCAAGGUUUAGGAGCCAGCACAGAAGCCUCUGAGAGCCAUAAGGGUAGAAAAGGUUACCCGGUACUAAACCAGCCAGCCUCGGGGUGAUCUCAUCCACUUCCCAAGAUAAGCCCCCUCCCCCACCCUCUGGCCACUGGCCAACAGGGUAAGUCACGAGGGAGCUGGUGGAAGAGUGUGUGUGAGGGCUGGGGGAAGGAUUUCAACUUGGGGUCACACUGUAC